rnacentral:rRNA from 1 species
GUCCACGCCGUAAACGAUGUCAACUAGCCGUUGGGAGCCUUGAGCUCUUAGUGGCGCAGCUAACGCAUUAAGUUGACCGCCUGGGGAGUACGGCCGCAAGGUUAAACUCAAAUGAAUUGACGGGGGCCCGCACAAGCGGUGGAGCAUGUGGUUUAAUUCGAAGCAACGCGAAGAACCUUACCAGGCCUUGACAUCCAGUGAAUCUGCCAGAGAUGGCGGAGUGCCUUCGGGAACACUGAGACAGGUGCUGCAUGGCUGUCGU